rnacentral:lncRNA from 1 species
GAAGCAAGGGUACCCGGAGUUCCAGACUGAGAUCCUCGUCCUGUCCGGCAUUCGCCACCGGCAUCUCGUCUCCUUGAUCGGGUACUGCGACGAGCAAUCGGAGAGGCUCUUGGUCUACGAGUACAUGGAGAAGGGGACGCUGAGGAACUACUUGUACGGCUCGGACAAGCCGUGUCUUUCGUGGAAGCAGAGGCUGGAGAUCUGCAUCGGGGCCGCUAGGGGCCUUCACUACCUCCACACCGGCUACUCGCACACCAUCAUCCACCGCGACAUCAAGUCCACC